rnacentral:lncRNA from 1 species
GAUACCUGCAGUGCACAGCAGCUGAAAUUAACCUGUAAGACUCGGAGCAGGAGCUUGUUUUUCAUUUCCAAAGACAUAACUGUCUAUAUUGUAAGGAAUUUGCAGACUUAUAUGUUCUUUGUUUAAUAAUUUUAAUACUAGUAAUUCAUGGUAAAUUUUUAUAUUAAAUUAUAUUUACUUGGUAACAGUUGCUUUUUAAAUUCAUUUUGUAAAAUAAAACACACUUGGGAAGAGAGGUGGGAGGGAAAGUGAAGGAGAAGUGGAAUUGCAUGGAAGAUGGAAGGAGACCCUCAUCGUUAUACAGAAUACAUGUAUGAUGAUGUGAGGGAAAAAAAGAAGUGUGUCACAUUAGAUUGGGUAGAGAGAACUGAUGGGAGGGGAGGGGAGGGGAAGGAGGGAAAGGAAGGUCAGCAGAAUAAAAUAGACAUUAGUAUUGCUGUAUGUAUAUACAUGACUGCAUGACCAAUGUGAUUCUGCAACCUGUACACUCAGAAAAAUGAGAAAUUAUACCCCAUAUUAUUCAAAAAUAUGAUAUGUCAAGAUCAUUGUACUGUCAUGUUUAACUAAUUAAAACAAAUUUUAAAAACACACACACUAAAAGAGGAAUAUGUUCCUAAGGCAGAUCUUGAUGAAUUACAAAGAUUUUACCUGGUAACUUCCAUCACCAUCACUCCUCUCCUCUCAUACCCCUCAGUUUGCUUUUUUGGUUGUUUUUUAGAUUGGUAUUAUAACAUUCACUAAAUUAUUGAUGUGGGUGAAUGGAUGCAAUAAAGAAACAAAUAAUUAAAUUACAAGCUAAGUUAAAUCCCAACUAAAUUUCAUAAGUGUUUAAUUCAUUUAUCCAUUCAUUAGCUAACUGAAUCUCAAGUCAAAACACCCAAUAUAAGAAAGGGCUGGGAAAAAAUUGGCAAUAUUCAUUUAUGAAAAAUUGUGGUUUUAGGGGGCUGGGGAUGUGGCUCAAGCGGUAGCGAGCUCGCCUGGCAUGCGUGCGGCCCGGGUUCGAUCCUCAGCACCACAUACAAACAAGAUGUUGUGUCCACCAAAAACUAAAAUAAAUAAAUAAAUAUUUUAAAAAAAAAAUUGUGGUUUUACAUUUUAUAUCCUUUUUUCAAUUAAGAACAAUAUUUUUUGUAAUACAUCACAUACAUAUAAAACAAGUUGGAAAACAUACAUUACAAACUUGUAACGAUGGCUUUAAAUACAUUAACUGACAUGUUUCUCAUUGGAAAUAGGUUGCUUGCUGUAUAUAUAUAGUGCAUGAAAACUACUGAUAUAAUAAAGUCUAGACAAAAUAUAAAUGUCUGCUCUCUGGUAACAUAUGAGCAUCACUCUAAUCUAACCAUGCUCGAAGUUACAUAAUACUGUAAAAAAUGUCUUAAAAACUAUAUACUUUAAUAAGAAAUAAAUUCAAUAAAGAAUGAUAAUACAGGGACUGGGGUUGUGGCUAAGUAGUAGAGUACUUACCUCACACAUGUGAGGCCAUGGGUUUGAUCCUAAGCACCACAUGUAAUAAACAAAAUAUAUAAAGGCAUUGAGUCCAUUUACAACUAAAAAUAUUUUUUUUUAAAAGAAUGAUGGUGUUGGGUUGUAGCUCAAUGGUAGAGCACUCGCCUCACAUAUGUGAGGCACUGGGUUUGAUUAUCAGCACCUCAUAUAAAUAAAUAAAGGUCCAUUUAGACAUUAAUAAAUUAUACAUCUGGCACUACUGACAUCUUUUCCAAAAAAAAAAAAAAAAAUUUGACAUCUUUUCCAAAAAAAGGGGGGGGGUUAUUUGUGGGGAAAAUGGUAUUCUAUGCUUUCUUAAUAUCAAGAAUAAAUUAUUUUCAGAAGUAAUAUAUAUUUCAAUAUAAUAGUAAAAUAGAACCAGGUUUUAAGGCACAUACCUCUAAUCCCAUUGGAUUAUGAGGCUAAGGCAAAAUAAUCCUGAGUUUAAGGCCAGUCUCAGAAACUUACCAAGGCCCUAAGCAACUANAAUACAUCACAUACAUAUAAAACAAGUUGGAAAACAUAUGUUACAAACUUGUAAUGAUGGCUUUAAAUACAUUAACUGACAUGUUUCUCAUUGGAAAUAGGUUGCUUGCUGUAUAUAUAUAGUGCAUGAAAACUACUGAUAUAAUAAAGUCUAGACAAAAUAUAAAUGUCUGCUCUAUGGUAACAUAUGAGCAUCAGUCUAAUCUAACCAUGCUAAAAGUUACAUAAUACUGUAAAAAAUGUCUUUAAAACUAUAUACUUUAAUAAGAAAUAAAUUCAAUAAAGAAUGAUAAUACAGGGACUGGGGUUGUGGCUAAGUAGUAGAGUACUUACCUCACACAUGUGAGGCCAUGGGUUUGAUCCUAAGCACCACACGUAAUAAACAAAAUAUAUAAAGUCAUUGAGUCCAUUUACAACUAAAAAUAUUUUUUUAAGAAAGAAUGAUGGUGUUGGGUUGUAGCUCAAUGGUAGAGCACUCGCCUCGCAUAUGUGAGGCACUGGGUUUGAUUCUCAGCACCUCAUAUAAAUAAAUAAAGGUCCAUUGAUAAUUAAUAUAUAUAUAUAUAUAUAUAUAUAUAUAUAUAUAUAUAUAUAUAUAUAUAUAUAUAUAUAUAAAGAAUGAUGAUAAUACUGAGAACCAAGGCAUUCAGAUUUCAAAAUUCAUGCUUCUUUUCAGGUGAUCCAAUAUUUUGUCAACUAAGUUUUCAAAAUUUGUUCAAAGCCAACAUUACUCAUAUAUGUUACACAUCUAUUAUUUCAUAAAUUUACUUUACUCAUAAAAGACCUUUGAUAAACAUCCAAAAUAUUCAGGUUAAUUAUAUUUGAAAUGGAGCUGAAAGAAAUACUGGUAUCAAAUAAAUAUAUUUGAAAUGGAGCUGAAAGAAAUACUGGUAUGGUUUUUCACUGUGACCUCAAGCAUUUAAGUAUUACAAAUUAUUCAACCAACACAACAAAGUUAAAAUCAUAAUGGCACAGCAUGUAUUGUAAAUAAAUCAAAACAACAGAAUGUGUAACACAAAGACAGAGCAGUGGCACAUUAAAGGAGAACUAGCUGAAUACAAAUAAUUGACUACUGCAGAGCAUAAAAUUAAAACAGUUCAAGUGAGACAAGGUGAUGGAGAGGUCACCAUGAAGGUGCCAACUGAUGAUUCUGCUGACCACUGUUGUCCAGAAUGGAAAUUAAAAAAUCAUAUUUGUAAAAACUUUGAUAGGUAUACAAUUAUCUCCAGUAUUAAAAAAAAUAAAGAUUUCCAAUGCAUCUGCCUUCUCUGAAUAGAAUAAAGCUCUAAGUUUGUCUGUCAACUGGUGUUUCGAUCACACAUAAUUUUUACCUCUGAAUUUUUGGGGUUGACAUUGAUGACUGUAACAACCAAAAUUAGUCCAUGAUGACAUGUUUUUAAAAACUUUUUAAAAACUUACUACUCAGAUAUUAGAACAGUUAUCAAUUUUUUACAGUAUCAAAUUUGGCAAAUUUGCAUUAAGGUCAUGUGGCACACAUCAUGUAAUUCAAAGCCACAACUCAUUUGUCCCUGUGAUAUCUUCUUUCACACACACACUCACACACACACACACACACAAACACAUUUCUUCAUCAGCAGUCUUGUAUAGUAAAAGUGUCUAGUUUUUGUUCAUUUUUAAUGCAAUACACUUCUAUCUACAAUUUCAUUACAUGCAUACAGCAAAAAGGAAAUUAUGAGUUUUACAUCCUUCAUGAUAAUUUUAUAUACAGGGAGGUUUAAAACAGUACUUCAACAGUUUACCUAGUAAUGUGGCACAGAAUGAUUGUAUCUUGUUCUCAAAAUUUUAAUAAGGAGGUAUAAAAUACAGGUUCAAUACUUUUAAAUCAAGUAUCCAUCUUUUAAAAAAUACUGUUGCAGCAUUGUUCUUUGCAUUACUUUUAAAACUUUUUAAGUUUUUCUCUCAUGGCACAAUCUUCUAAUACUUCAUAUAUGAGAGGAAAUUUUUUUAAAAAAUUGCAACUUCUGCCCUUGGAAGGGCUCUGUAGUGCGAAUGGCAUAUGAAUUUUUUAUUGAUUUUAUAUAUUUACAUAUAUACAACAGUGGAAUGUAUUCCAAUUCUUAUUACACAUAUAUAGCACAAUUUUUCAUACCUUUGUAUAUUAAGUAUGUUCACACUAAUUCAUGCCUUAACACAAUUACUUUCUGGGGUUUUUUUUGCAUUACAAUUCUUAUCCCACAUAUAUACCACAAUUUUUUUCAUAUCUCAGGUUGCAUAUAAAGUAUGUUGACCCCCAAUUCAAGUCUUCAUACUUGUACUUUGAAUAAUGAUGCCCAUCACAUUCCACCAUCCUUUCUAAUCCCCUGCCCCUCCCUUUACCUCCCACUCCUCUUUCCUAUCUAGAAUUCAUCUAAUCAUCCCAUGGUCCCCCUCCCUAUCCCACUAUGAGUCAGCCUCCUUGUAUCAGAGAAAACAUUUGGCAUUUUUUUUUGGAUUGGCUAAUUUCACUUAGUAUUAUCUUCUCCAAUGCCAUUCAUUUACCUGCAAAUGCCAUGAUUUUAUUCUCUCUUAUUGCUGAAUAAAAUUCUAUUGUGUAUAUGUGCCACAUUUUUAAAUCCAUUCAUCCACUGAAGGGCAUCUAGGUUGGCUCCACUGUUUAGCUAUUGUGAAUUGUGCUGCUAUAAACAUUGAUGUGGCUGUGUCCCUGUUGUAUGCUGUUUUUAAUUCCUUUGGGUAUAGUCCAAGGAGAAGGGAUACCUGAGUCAAAUGGUGGUUCCAUUCCCAGAUUUCCAAAGAAUCUCCAUACUGCUUUCCAUAUUGGCUGCAACAAUUUGCAGUCCAACCAGGAAUGUAUGAGUGUAGAUUUUUCUCCACAUCCUCGGCAACAUUUUUGUUGUUUGUCUUCAUAAUAGCUGUCAUUCUGACUGGAGUGAGAUAAUAACUUAGAGUAGUUUUUUUAGAGAGAGGGAGAGAGAGAGAGAGAGAAUGAAUUUAUAUAUAUAUAUAUAUAUAUAUAUAUAUAUAUAUAUAUAUAUAUAUAUAUAUAUAUAGUUUUCAGUGGACACAACAUCUUUGUUUGUUUGUGGUGCUGAGAAUAGAACACAGGCCGCAUGCAUGCCAGGCAACCGUGGUACCGCUUGAGCCACAUCCCCAGCCCAAACUUAAAGAAGUUUUGAUUGGCAGUUCUCUAAUUGCUAUAGAUGAUGAGCAUUUUUAAAAUAUAUUUCUUGACUGAUUGUAUAUCCUCUUCUGAGAAGUGUUUUUUCAAGUCCUUGACCCAUGUGUUGAUUGCGUUUUUUGAGUUUUUGUUUUGUUUUGUUUUGUUUUGUUUUUUGUGCUUAGCUUUUUGAAUUCUUUAUAUAUCCUAGAGAUUAGUGUUCCAUCUGAUGUGUGAGGGGUAAAAAUUUGCUCCCAGGAUGUAAGCUCUCUGUUCACCUCACAGAUUGUUUCUUUUGCUUCAAGAAACUUUUUGGUUUGAUUCUAUCCUAUAUAUUGAUUCUUGCUUUAAAUUUUUGUGCUAUAGGAGUCUUAUUAAGGAAGUUGGGCCUAAUCCCACAUGAUGAAGAUUAGGGCCUACUUUUUUAUUCUAUUAGGCACAGAGUUUCAGGUUUCAUUCCUAGGUUCUUGAUCCAUUUUGAGUUUAGUCUUGUGCAGGUAAAAGAUAAGGGUUUAAUUUCAUAUUGUUGCAUAUGGGUUUCCAGUUUUCCUAGUACCAUUUUUUGAAGAUGCUCUCUUUUCUCCAGGGCAUGUUUUUGGCACCUUUUUAAAAUAUAAGAUAAUUGUAAUUUGGGGGGUUACUCUCUGUGUCCUCUAUUCUCUAUCAUUGGUCUACAAGACUGAUUUGGUGUGAAUAGCAUGCUGUUUUUGAUACUAUUGCUCUGUAGUAUAGUUUAAGGUCUGGUAUAGUGAUGCCACCUGCUUCACUUAUCCUGCUAAGGAUUGCUUUAGCUAUUCUGAGUCUCUUAUUUUUCCAUAUGAAUUUCAUGAUUGCUUUUUCUAUUUCUAUGAGGAAUGCCAUUGGAAUUUUGAUGAGAAAUGCAUUAAACAUGUAUAGUGCUUUUGGUAGUAUAGUCAUUUUGAUAAUAUUAAUUCUGCCUAACCAAGAACAAGGUAGAUCUUUCCAUCUUCUAAGGUCUUCUUUGAUUUCUCUCUUUAGGCUUCUGUAGUUUUUAUUAUACAGAUCUUUCACCUCUUUUGUUAAGCUGAUUCCCAAUUAUCUUAUUUUUUAGGUUAUUGUGAAUGGGGUAGUUUUCCUCAUUUCCUUCUCAGAGGAUUUGUCACUGAUAUACAGAAAUGCCUUUGAUUUAUGGGUUUUGAUUUUAUAUACUGCUACUUUGAUGAAAUCAAUUACCAGUUCUAGAAAUUUUCUGGUGGAGUUUUGGGGGUCUUCUAGGUAUAGAAUCAUAUUGUCAGCAAAUAGUGCUAAUUUAAGUUCUUCUUUUCCUAUGUGUAUUCCUUUAAUUUCUUUCAUCUGUCUAAUUGCUCUGGCCAAUGUUUCAAGAACUAUGUUGAAUAGAAGUGGUGAGAGAGGGCAUUCCUGUCUUGUUCCAGAUUUUAGAGGGAAUGCGUUCAAUUUUUGUCUGUUUAGAAUGAUGUUGGCCUGAGGAUUAGCAUAGAUAGCCUUUAAAAUGUUGAGAUAUGUUCCUGUUAUCCCUAGUUUUUCUAGUGUUUUAAACUUAACUGGAUGUCGUAUUUUGUCAAAUGCUUUUUCUGUGUCUAUUGUGGUGACCAUAUGAUUUUUACCUUUAAGUCUAUUGAUGUGGUGAGUUAUAUUUUUUUGAUUUCUGUAUGUUGAACCAAACUUGCAUCCCUGGGAUGAAUCCCACUUGAUCAUGGUGCACAAAUUUUUUGAUAUGUUUUUGUAUUAGAUUUGCCAGAAUUUUAUUGAGAAAUUUGCAUCUAUGUUCAUUAGACAUAUUGGUCUAAAGUUUUCUUUUUUGAUGUGUCUUUGCCUGGUUUGGAGAUCAGGGUGAUAUUGGCAUCAUAAAAUGAGUUUGGAAUGACUGCCUAUUUUACUAUAUCCUGAAAUAAAUUGAAGAGUGUUGGUAUUAGUUCUUCUUUAAAGGACUUGUAGAACUCACCUGUGUAAACAUCCGGUCCUGGGCUUUUUGUUGUUGGUAAGCCUCUGAUGGCGUCUUUUUGUUUUUUCACUUGAUAUUGGUCUGUUUAAAUUGUUUAUAUCUUCCUGACUCAAUCUGGGAAGAUCAUAAGACUUAAGAAAUCUGUCAAUGCGUUCAAUGCCUUCGAUUUUAUUGGAGUUUAAGAUUUCAAAAUAAUUUCUAAUGAUCCUCUGUAUUUCUGUAGUGUCAGUUGUGAUAUUACCUUUUUCAUCAUGUAUGCUGGUAAUUUGAGAUCUCUCUUCUCUUCAUUAGCGUGGCUAAGGGUCUAUCAAUUUUAUUUAUUUUUUCAAAGAACCAACUUUUUGUUUUGUCAAUUUUUAUAUUGUUCCUUUUAUUUUGAUUUCAUUGAUUCCAGCUCUAAUUUUAAUUAUUUCUUGUCUUCUUCUGCUUUUGCUACUGAUUUGUUCUUCUUUUCCUAGGUCUUUGAGAUGUAGGGUGAGGUCAUAUAUUUUUUGAUUUUUUUUUUUAAGAAAUAAAGUCCACGCAAUGAAUUUUCCUUUUAGUAUUGCUUUCAUAGUGUCCCAGAUAUUUUGAUAUGUUGUGUCUAUGUUCUCAUUUACUUAUAAGAAUUCUUUAAUCUCCUCCGUGAUGUCUUCUGGAACCCAUUGUUCAUUAAGUAGCAUAUUGUUUAGGCUCCAAGUGAUGGAGAAAAUUUUGUUUUUUAUUUUGUUGUUGAUUUCCAAUUUCAUUCCAUUAUGAUCCAAUAAAAUGCAUGGUAGUAUCUCUAACUUUUUGUAUUUGCUAAGAGUUGCUUUGUGGCACAUUAUAUGGUCUAUUUUAGAGAAGGAUCCAUGUGCUGCUGAGAGGAAAGUGUAUGCACUUGGUGCAGGUUGAAAUAUUCUAUAUAUGUCACAUAAGUCUAAGUUAUUGAUUGUGUUAUUGAGUUCUAUAGUUUCUUUAUUCAACUUAUGUUUGGAAGACCUAUCUAGUGAUGAGAGAGGUCUGUUAAAGUCAACCAAGAUUAUUGUGUUGUGGUUAAUUUGACUCUUGAACUUGAAAAGAGUUUGUUUGAUGAUCAUAGCUGCACCAAGGUUUGGGGCAUAUAUAUUUAUGAUUGCUAUGGUUUAUUGGUGUAGGAUUCCUUGAGCAGUAUGUAAUGUCAAUCUUUAUCCGUUUUGAUUAACUUUGACUUGAAGUCUACUUUAUUUGAUAUGAGUAUAGAAACCCCUGCUUCCUUACACAGUCCAUGUGAGUGGUAUGAUUUUUCCAAACCUAUUACUUUCAGUUUGUAUAUGUCUUUUCAUAUCAGAUGAGUUACCUUCAGGAAGCAUAUUGUUGGGUCUUUUAUUUUAUCCAAUCUGCAACCCAUAUCUUUUUGUUGUUGCUGAGUAUAAGCCAUUAACAUUUAGGGUUACUAUUGAGACAUGGUUUGUAUUUCCAGACAUAUUUGUUUAUUUUUGUUAUUUAACUUGACUUGGUUUUCCUCUUUGAUUAGUUUUUUCCUUUACUGCAUACCUCCCUCUGUUGAUUUUCAUUGCUGUUUUUCAUUUCCUGUUCAUGAAAUAUUUUGCCAAGGAUGUUUUGUAGCACCAGUUGUCCAGUUAUAAAUACUUUUAACUUUUGUUUAUCAUGGAAGGUUUCUAUUUCAUUUUCAAAUCUAAAGCUUAAUUUUGCUGGAUACAAGAUUCUUGAUUGGCACCAAUUAUCUUACAGAGCUUGAUAUAUGUUGUUCCAGGAUCUUCUAGCUUUCAGGGUCUGGGUUGAAAAAUCUGCCAUUAUUCCAAUUGGUUUUCCCCUAUAUGCAGUCUUAUUCCUUUUUCUCGUGGCUUUUAAAAUUCUCUCCUUAUUCUGUAUGUUGGGAUUUUCAUUAUACUGUGCCUUGAUGUGGAUCUGUUGUGAUUUUGUACAUUUGGCAUCCUGUAGGCUUCUUGAAUUUGGAUUUCCAAUUUAUUCCUCGAGUUUGGAAAGAUUUCUGGUAUUAUUUCAUUGAAUAGAUUGUAUAUUCCUGUGAUUUGGUCCUCUAUGCCUUCUUCUAUCCCAAUAACUCUUAAAUUUUAGCUCUUAAAUAACUCUGAAAUUUUAAAAAAAGUUUUUUGGACUUUUGUUCUUUGCAUUACUUUUAAAACAUCUUCUUAAGUUUUUCUCUCAUGGCAUAAUCUUCGUAUACUUCAGAUAUGAGAGGAAAUGUAUUUUUAAAAAUGCACCUCUGCCCUUGGAGGGCACUGUAGUGACUGAACAGUACAUGAAAUUUGAAUACUUUUCAAAUCACUUCACCAAUGACUUGCCUGACUGAGUUCAUGAAUGUUGCAUCAGCACACAGUUCAUUCAGAGAGGAGUGUGACUUUGCUAUGAGAAGAAAAGUUUCCUAGAAGUCUUUCACUGUUACUCCCUCUGUCACUGUGUAGUCAAGGGCCAUAUGUCUCCCAUGGAAGCCUUCCUACCAGUCUCUUGGGGUAGACAUUGAAAGAUGAUCAGUGCUUGGAAUGAUUUGGUCCCUAAUACCUUACUAUUAUUCAGUACAGGUUCUAGAACCACUUUCAUCCACACAGGGGUGGAGUUGGUGGACAAAAAGCUGAGCUGGAAGACAAUGUUUUAUUUGUAUUUUGUUUGUCUAGAUGGUAAGACAAAUGAACAAACAAUUCCCUCAUCUUGCUGCACUGAGCACAGGCAAGCAAAGGCAAUGAUCACUUAAGUGAUCAGCAGGCAGGCUGGUCAGGUCAUUAUUGGGCAAAGAGUUCAGAGAUAGAAGUUCAUAGGUUAGUUGAGAGUGUCAGCUCCACCUUCAGUCACAAUCCUUUGGAAAGGAUGGACACACAUAUUGUGCCUUCAAACUUUAGGAGACACUGCACCUCAUACACCAUUGGGUUCAAAGGAUACUCAAGGACUGAAGUGGCUGAUGCCAAUGUGUAAGGUAUUUGUAGGGUGUGUAGAUCAACCCAGCCUCUGGCCCUGGAGGGACAAUCACAGCAGUAGUGUGAGGAGUUCCUUUUGGCAUGACAGAGGUCUGUAUUUGUCUGAUCAAAGGCAUUAUGGUAGGGUCAGCUAGAGAAGAGUACUCAGGGUCACUGGUAUGUGCAGCCCCUCUUUACUGAGGGUAAUUCUGGCAAUUAGGGAUUUGGUGCCAAAUAAGGUACUUUGCUCAAGACAGAGCUAACGCUCAGUGUACUCCAGCAUUUCCUGCUGACUGAAGGUAGAUAUUUUCUAGAUUGUCCAAUGUAUCUUAAUCCGUCUACUGAUUUGUGACUUUAAAGAGAGAAACUUAUAACAUGAGUAGCUUUUUAUUAAGUGUGUAUAUAGGUAGAAGAAUGAUACAUAAUUUUAACAUUUUGCUUUAUUUUUAAUAUCAUUUCCCCCUUAACAUCUGCAUUUUGUGUGUGUGUGUUGCUAAGGUUGUAACCCAGUACCCUGCACAUUAUGCACACAUGCUUUACCAUUGAAUUGUACCACCAGUCCAAAAUUUUAACUUUAGAUUGAUCAGUUUUAUGCCUUCAUGUCCAAUGUUAUUUUUCCCAUUGUUGAAUUUAGGUAGACCUUUCUGUUGGUCUUAACAAUACUAAAAGUGGACACAAAUAUAGAUUCUUUGAAGAUUGCUUUGGUAAAGUAAUUGGUUAUUCAAAUCCACAGUCUUAUCAAGUUAAUACUACUUGUGUAGAAUAAAAAUUAAGAUAAAAUAUUCCAAUAAAUAAACAAACAAAUAAAUAAAUAAACCCUCAAUUGAGGACCCAUUACAGUUUUUAAAAAUCUUUAAUUGGGACACAUAAACCUCACUUAGGAGAUAUUCAUUCUUUUCAAUAUCACCUAAUUUUAUUUUGUUUUCUUCUCAUGUGAAAAUCUCAGAAUGAUAAAUUAAAAUCUUUUAAAAAAUUCCCUCCAGUUCUUGAAUAAAAACAUUAUAAAUGAUGCAUACAUCUGAAAUAAAACAUGAGAAAAUAAUGAUUGAUAAUGCUGAAAGUGGAGUUUUGAGAUGAACCAAAAUUUCUCAGUUUGCCAAUUGCAUCUGUGUGCUUGUCUCAUAAAUUUUGAAGAAAAAAAUCUAUUUAAGCAAGAAGAAAUAGAACUCCCAUCAUGUGGUAUGAGGAAUGAUACCAGAAGGAGAAAAAAACUCAUGUUAGUGUGCCAUCUUAGAAGUUUCCUGAUGGAUUUGGGCAGAACAUGGAGCAAAAUGCAUUUAGAAUAGGCUUUGGAAAAGGCAUCCUGACUACCGUAUGGGUUCACUUUCAUCCUUUCAGUGACCAUCCUUUUUUCUUCAAAAAGGAAUUUGUUGAAGGUGUUCCCACAAGUGGGUUUCAAGGUCUUUUACAUUUGAAAUAGGCCUUGAUGGUGCCAAUUAAUAUAUCUUUCAGUUAGACUCCAGGUGUUGUUGAGUGAGGCCCAUUAUCCUGAUUACAUGGUCAUUAUAAUAUCUAUUCUAUUUUAUACUUAUUCACUGUGAACAGAGAAUCCUAUUUUUGGGUAUGUGAACACACACACACACAUACAUACACACUCACGGACACACACAAAAAUAAAUUAAAUAAAUAAACAAACAAACCCUCGUGAGUAACAAGCCCUAAAUCAGCAGCCUCUCUCAUUCAGGAGUACAACAAAUGGAUUUGGGUUCUCUCCUGAUAAUUAUUCCAGUCUUCACCACACAAUCUGGGACAUGCUGGACUCAUGGCACAUGGAUGCUCACAAAGGGCUUCAGAAAGUAGCUGAAAACACGAUACAAUGAUGGAACAAAAUGCCCAGGUUUUCAACUGCCAAUCUAAGCCUCGCUAGAUUAGUCAGAGGGAGGUGAAGGCUAAGCUUCCACAGAGUGACCCUGUGGCCACAAGACUUUGGAGAGGACCAUGAGGAGUCACUAGCCACAACUCCCAGUUUCCACCAUUGCCACUCCUGUCAGCUUUAAGCCACCUUCCUACCCAGUCUCAAGGUAGCAAGGCACACUUACCAUUUCCUGGCUCUCAGGGUUCUCAGCGUUCUCCCUGUUGUUUGUUUUCAGAUUCUGCAUAGCAGAGACACCUGAGCUCCAGAUCCAGGACAGAAGCCUACAAAAAGAUUGAAAAAAUGGCGGGCUCCAGACACCAAGGGAACAGAAGAUUGUGGAAGCCCUUCCCCUCAUCACUGGCUGCCUGAGGAUUGGACAGUUCUCACCUAAGAGACUGAUUGGUCAAGGCUUCAGGCACUGCCUCCAACCUGAGCCAAGUGGGCACAGAAUCAAUGUCUGAAUGACAGGCUGCUCCAUUGUCAUUGUUAACCAACUACAGAUCAUGGCUGAAAAUAUAGCUUAGUCAGUAGAGUGCUUGUUUUGCUGAUAUAAGGCCAUGGACUCAAUCCCUUGUACUACACGCAUACACUCCCCGCCCCCCCCCCCCCCCCCCAAAAAAAAAAAAAAGAUUAAGUAAAGGACUUUGGAAACUAGGGUUAUGGAUCAGUGGUAGAGAACUUCCCUAGCAUGUGUGAUGUACUGGGUUGAACACCCAGCACCGCAUUAUAAAGCCACCCAAGAGAGGGAUGUGGCUCAAGCAAUAGUGCACUCGCCGGGCAUGCGGGCAGCCCAGGUUGGAUCCUCAGCACCACAUACAAACAAAGAUGUUGUGUCCGCCCAAAACUAAAAAUAAAUAUUUUAAAAAGCCAACAAACAAACUACUAAUGGUACUGUGUCCAUCUACAACAAAAAAUAUUCAAGAAAAUAAAAAGACUGUGUAUUGGACUUGUGCACCCUCACUACAUAACUCAUAAACACAUUUUAUAAAUAAUAUGUACAUAUAUGUCUUCAGACAGUGUGUAAAAUUCUCCUGUGAUUUCUUUUCAAGUAGCUUAUAUUACAGGUAUGCUUCACAACCCUGAAAUUCUCCCCAACUCAAUUAUUAUUAUUAUUAUUAUUAUUAUUAUUAUUAUUAUUAUUA